CAUUCUAAGCGGUGGAUCACUAGGCUCGUGGGUCGAUGAAGAACGGGGCCAGCCCCGAGAAUAAGUGCGAAUUGCAGACACAAAGAACAUUGAUACUUCGAACGCAUAUUGCGGUAUCGGGCCAGCUCGAUACCACGCCUGUCUGAGGGUCGAAUGCGUGUAACGUGUUCGAAGGACAUCGAUUAUGGAGACAGACAGUCGAUUAGUCGUGUUGUGUGUCCUGUUGGAGUGAAAUAAAAAAAUGGACUCCAGACGCUAGAAUGUGCGAGCGUCAUCGAGUCGUAAGGUUAUCGAACUCAAGAUGUUGGCGAACGAAUGCGAACGCGAGAGUGCGUAUAACCAGAGUCGAGCUCGAGAAUAUUGAGAGCGCGAUGUUUCGUCCAUUCGCCCGUUUAGAAUAUAUAUACGUCCGUUGCGUUGCCGCGUCGUCGUUGGCCCGGUGUGAAUAAAGACGCUGGGCGUUUAAGCGUAGGCGAAUAGGAUCUCUCGAAAUUUGACCUCAGAUUAGACGUGAAAACCCGCUGAAUUUAAGCAUAUAAUUAGGCGGAGGAAAAGAAAUUAACGAAGAUUUCCCGAGUAACGGCGAGUGAAAAGGAAAUAGUUCAGCGCCGAAUCCGUCGGCCGUUGGUCGACGGACCUGUGGCGUGAAGGAGAGCCUAUCCGACGGGUUCUACGCCUCGGAAGCGCCCUCGAACGGGACCCCGAAGCAGGUGCGAGGCCUGUAACGAGGCGAGGCUCGUCGGUUUGCGUUCUCCGUAGAGUCGGGUUGCUUGAGAGUGCAGCCCUAAGCGGAAGGUAAACCCCUUCUAAAGCUAAAUAUGACCACGAGACCGAUAGCGAACAAGUACCGCGAGGGAAAGUUGAAAAGAACUUUGAAGAGAGAGUUCAAGAGGGCGUGAAACCGCUUAGAAGAAA
rnacentral:misc_RNA from 1 species